rnacentral:tRNA from 1 species
GCGGGCGUGGUGGAAUUGGUAGACACGCAAGACUUAAAAUCUUGUUCCGAGAUUCGGAGUGCCGGUUCGAUUCCGGCCGCCCGCACCA